UUUUGGGUUUCGUCUCUCUCUCUCCUCAUGAAGAGCAGAGAACGAGCUGCACCUCCUCUCUGUUUCCUUUUCUCAGCGCAUCCCACCCCCACCCCACGAGCGGCCCCCGCCUCCGGAGGGGGAACGCCCAAGCCGCGCGGCCGGCGGAGGAGGCGGCGGCGGCGCAAGCGAGGACGGGAAGGCGGAGGAGGCCGAAGCGGCGCGGCGACCGUGGAAUCUGAGGCCGAGGAGGGCGGUGAACCCUCCGCCGCUGUCGUUGAGGAACGGCGAGGCGUUUCACGACGCCGCGGGCGACGCGCUCGGCGGGGACAAGGAGAAUUACGCCGCGCAGCGGCAGCAGCAGUUGCAGCCGCAGUCGAAAUCCGUGCGGUUACAAGGGCUUCUUGGGGGAGGGCGAGAGGAAGGAGAAGAAGAUGAAGUUCUGGAUAUCGCCGUUGAAGGAGGAGAUCGAGGAGGACAUUUUCAUCAAGACGGGGUCGAGGCCUGCCCGGAGGCCAAGGAGGAGGCCCAAGAACGAGCAGAAGCAGCUUGAUAUUGUCUUUCCUGGUUUAUGGUUGGUGGGGCUCACACCGGAUGCUUACCGUGUGGCCGAAGCUCUGGCCAAGAGAUAGUUUGCGCUGAGGUAGAACAUCUUGCCCGUUUUCUGAGCCGGAGGUCUCUCUGUCUCUCUCUCUCAACCAAAUUGUCAUGCUCUGGAAGUUCUCGGUGUCUUCACCCUGAGAACUUUGAUAUUGAAGGCGUACGUCCCGGAGAUAGAAGGUGUUCCCGAGCCGGAAGUCGUGAUGCUUGAAGGCCUAUGGAGGCUCGUAAGCAUCGGGCGCUUUCACACAUCAACUAGAGCUGGAAGUCAGUGGCUAUUAUCACAAGUUGCGGGUAUUAUUGGAUACCAUCCUGAAAGCAAUGGCAGAUUUUACAGUGAAGCCAGAAAGAUUUUCUGUGAUCAAGGAGAAGUUGACAAAAAGUUAUCAGAAUUUCAAGUUUGAUGAGCCAAGAUAUCAUGCCUCAUAUUAUCGCUCUUUAAUAUUAAAUGACCAUUCAUGCCCUUGGGAGGAAGAUCUAGAAAUACUUGACUCUUCAGCCUGAAGACCUUUCUUGGUUUGCACCUAUAAUGCUCUCGAGAGCAUUCUUAGAGUGUUACAUAGCAGGUUCAGUGAUUUUAGAAGUUAUCCCUUUCUUUUUUAAGUUAACUCUCUCAUAUUUGAAUCUUGAUCUACUUUUAUUUUGUCAUCACUCACUAGGGAAUAUAGAAUGUGAUGAAGCAGAGUCAAUUGUUUAUCAUGUCGAAGAUGUUUUCUUUAAUAGUUCUCAUCCUAUAUGCAAGCCUGUGCUCCAAUCCAGCUCAUGACAAGCAGACUCGUCACACUUGACGAGGGUGUAAGUUACAUACUCAACUGAAGGCCUAAACCCAAAUGAUGAGAAUUCUGCAUUGCUUCACUAUAUUCAAGUACUUUUACUCAACAAUAUUAAUGAAAAGAACAAAUUUCUGUCCGCAUAACUUUGUCAUAAAAUCUUCUGGCCUGUCUUUUGCCUGAAUAGACGUUCAAGAUGGCUCCCGGCUCCAAUGAACUUAAUUGGCCUAGGCCACCUUUGAUCUGCUAGUAUGUUUCUCUGGGUAUGUAAGGUUGUGUUUUGCUUGUAAUUUCAACCAAAAAUCUAUCUGGUGACACAUUGCGCAUGGUUUACCCCCUUGGGAUGGUUGAUUUCUGACAUGCCAAUUCACUUUGAGAAAGUAUAUGUUUGUACAUUAGCAAAGACAAAAAGUUCAUCAGAUUACAAGCAUUAAAAAUCAUGGGGUAACUCAUUUUGGUAGGUCUACUUAGUCUUUUUCUGUAUGUAUUUGAUUAC